AGAGUUUGAUCAUGGCUCAGAUUGAACGCUGGCGGCAGGCCUAACACAUGCAAGUCGAACGGUAACAGGAAGCAGCUUGCUGUUUUGCUGACGAGUGGCGGACGGGUGAGUAAUGUCUGGGAAACUGCCUGAUGGAGGGGGAUAACUACUGGAAACGGUAGCUAAUACCGCAUAACGUCGCAAGACCAAAGAGGGGGACCUUCGGGCCUCUUGCCAUCGGAUGUGCCCAGAUGGGAUUAGCUAGUAGGUGGGGUAACGGCUCACCUAGGCGACGAUCCCUAGCUGGUCUGAGAGGAUGACCAGCCACACUGGAACUGAGACACGGUCCAGACUCCUACGGGAGGCAGCAGUGGGGAAUAUUGCACAAUGGGCGCAAGCCUGAUGCAGCGACGCCGCGUGAGGGAUGGAGGCCUUCGGGUUGUAAACCUCUUUUAUCGGGGAGCAAGCGAGAGUGAGUUUACCCGUUGAAUAAGCACCGGCUAACUACGUGCCAGCAGCCGCGGUAAUACGUAGGGUGCAAGCGUUAUCCGGAAUUAUUGGGCGUAAAGGGCUCGUAGGCGGUUCGUCGCGUCCGGUGUGAAAGUCCAUCGCUUAACGGUGGAUCCGCGCCGGGUACGGGCGGGCUUGAGUGCGGUAGGGGAGACUGGAAUUCCCGGUGUAACGGUGGAAUGUGUAGAUAUCGGGAAGAACACCAAUGGCGAAGGCAGGUCUCUGGGCCGUUACUGACGCUGAGGAGCGAAAGCGUGGGGAGCGAACAGGAUUAGAUACCCUGGUAGUCCACGCCGUAAACGGUGGAUGCUGGAUGUGGGGCCCGUUCCACGGGUUCCGUGUCGGAGCUAACGCGUUAAGCAUCCCGCCUGGGGAGUACGGCCGCAAGGCUAAAACUCAAAGAAAUUGACGGGGGCCCGCACAAGCGGCGGAGCAUGCGGAUUAAUUCGAUGCAACGCGAAGAACCUUACCUGGGCUUGACAUGUUCCCGACGGUCGUAGAGAUACGGCUUCCCUUCGGGGCGGGUUCACAGGUGGUGCAUGGUCGUCGUCAGCUCGUGUCGUGAGAUGUUGGGUUAAGUCCCGCAACGAGCGCAACCCU
rnacentral:rRNA from 1 species